rnacentral:rRNA from 1 species
CCUUGACAUACUAAGAACUUUCCAGAGAUGGAUUGGUGCCUUCGGGAACUUAGAUACAGGUGCUGCAUGGCUGUCGUCAGCUCGUGUCGUGAGAUGUUGGGUUAGGUCCCGCAACGAGCGCAACCUUUUCCUAUUUGCCAGCGGGUCAUGCCGGGAACUUUAAGGAUACUGCCAGUGACAAACUGGAGGAAGGCGGGGACGACGUCAAGUCAUCAUGGCCCUUACGGCCAGGGCUACACACGUGCUACAAUGGUCGGUACAAAGGGUUGCUACCUCGCGAGAGGAUGCUAAUCUCAAAAAGCCGAUCGUAGUCCGGAUCGCAGUCUGCAACUCGACUGCGUGAAGUCGGAAUCGCUAGUAAUCGCGGAUCAGAAUGCCGCGGUGAAUACGUUCCCGGGCCUUGUACACACCGCCCGUCACACCAUGGGAGUUUGUUGCACCAGAAGUAGGUAGUCUAACCGCAAGGAGGACGCUUACCACGGUGUGGCCGAUGACUGGGGUGAAGUCGUAACAAGGUAAGCGUAGAUGA